rnacentral:lncRNA from 1 species
GAGCCACCUCAGCCUCCUGAGUAGCUGGGACUACAGGUGUGCACUACCAUGCCCAGCUAGUGCUUAUAUUUUUUUGUAGAGACAGAGUCUCACCAUGGUGCCCAGGCUGGUCUCGAUCUCCUGAGUUCAAACAAUCUGCCCACCUUGACCUCCCAAAGUGCUGGGAUUACAGGUGUAAGCCACUGCGCCCACCAUGGGGAAGAGAGUUCUUUCUUUUCUUCUUCCCUCACCGCCCAGUCUUUUGUUUUCUUUUUUAGUACCCCUGUGACCUCACAGAAAUAUUUCUGUAUAUGUACAUAUUUGAGACUAUGUGAUCAGAUGGAAUUUAGUUUUAUGUCCACAUUUGCCCCAGCUGUUGGCCCGUUUUGGUCUCACUUCUUUGGUUUCUACACCCCGACUCCCACCUCCCUAAAGCAUGCACAGCAGGCCCUCCCUGCUCCAGAGGCUCAACUGUCUGUUUCCCAGGGAGCUCUGAUUUCUGUGGCUAGUGGGGAAGGGCCUUUGGAGAGUAGCAUCUGGACACUAGGGGUGGUGAUUGCUUCUGGAUUCUCUCAACCCCGAGAGUGUAAAGUUUGUUUCUAAAUUCUAGAAUGAGAAAUUUCUGAAGGUUCUUUAAGAUACCAGUUCCUCAAACCUUAACCAUAGCUCAGGCAACACAGUAAAGAAAAAGAUAAAUUCUGUCAUUGUAACCUUUUUCCUCUGGUUGAAUAAAUGUUAUCUUUAUUAACAUGUAUAACCUUGAACUUGUUGCCAAAAAUGGAGUUUUGUGAAACUGUCAGUUGGAUUACUCUAUUACUGUACUAGGGUUAUAAAGUAUUUUAACAAAUACCUCAUUUGGUUUUUGUCACAUCUCUAGAUGAAGUUUAAAAUGAAAGAUCAAUGUUUGGCUAGGUGUGGUGGCUCAUGCUUGCAAAUCCAAGCACGUUGGGAGACCAAGAUGGGAGGAUUGCUUGAGGCCAGGAGUUUGAGACCAGUAUGGGUAACAGUGAGAACCCAUCUGUAAAACUUAAAAAUUAGCCCACUGGGCGUGGUAGCUCAUGCCUGUAAUUUCAACACUUUGAGAGGCCGAGGUGGGGAGAUCACCUGAGAUUAGGAGUUCAAGACCAGCUUAACCAACAUGGUGAAACUCUAUCUCUACUAAAAAUACAAAAAUUAGCCGGGCGUGGUGGCAGACGCCUGCAGUCCCAGCUUCUCAGGAGGCUGAGGCAGGAGAAUGGCAUGAACCCGGGAGGAGGAGCUGGCAGUGAGCGGAGAUUGCACCACCCGCACUCCAGCCUGGGUGACACAGCGAGACACUCUCUCAAAAGAAAAAAAAAAAAAA